rnacentral:lncRNA from 1 species
GGCAACGGUUUCUCCUUCCUGCAAUCAGAGCCUCCACUGGGUCUGAGGGCUCAUAGUGGAGCCUGUCCUCAGCAGGGGUAGUUUCCACGAAUCUGAUUUCUGGGGUAUAUGAAGGGACAGCCUCUGUCUUUCUUUUACCUAGAGGCUAAGCCUUCCUUCCUGCCCAAGUGUAACUAAAAUGGGAACUUUGGUUCUUUCGGCUAGCAGUGUGAUCCCACCACAUACACAACUAACUACUCAUUCAUGCAGCAAACAUUUGAAACACUGAAAAACACCUGUGCUUGCCAGGCACAUGGGAAGAAAGAGUGAACAGAAGAAGCCAGAGCAUUUCUGUUCUCAGAAUUCACCUUAGAAGGGAGAGACAAGUGGCAUCUCCAAACUUCUUGAGCUUAGAGCAUGAACCACCACCCACCUCUCCUCUGGCCAGAUGAAUGAACAGAAUAUGCAGACGGUGGCAUGAGCAAAUGAACCUGACUGUACGGACCUGUGCGGCUGGUAAGACCAGCAUCCUGGGAAAGAGAAGAGCUCUGGAGAAAGAGAAAUGCCUUAAAACACAGCGAGGUUGCUCACAGGAGGUUUUUAAUGUCGAAAUGUCUGUGAUGUGUCAAAUUGUCUCCACUGGCUUUGUCUUGACAACUGUAGGAACUAAUCAGACUACUUCUCUUCUAGCAUUAUCAGAAGAAACUUGA